ACGUUGCCUCUUGGAACCUGAAAAAGGGCCCAGAUUUUCAGAUGAAACUCCUACGGUGGCUCCAACAGCGGCUCCACCGUUCAUCGGACCUUCUGUGGGCUGCAACUCUGCCAUUACGGGUGAAGAAUAAGAGAGAGAGAGAG